rnacentral:rRNA from 1 species
AGAAUCAACGCUGGCGGCGUGCCUAACACAUGCAAGUCGAACGAGAAAGUGGAGCAAUCCAUGAGUAAAGUGGCGCACGGGUGAGUAACACGUGACUAACCUACCCUUGAGUGGGGAAUAACUUCGGGAAACCGAGGCUAAUACCGCAUAAUACCCACGGGUCAAAGGAGCAAUUCGCUUAAGGAGGGGGUCGCGGCUGAUUAGUUAGUUGGCGGGGUAAUGGCCCACCAAGACGAUGAUCAGUAUCCGGCCUGAGAGGGCGCACGGACACACUGGAACUGAAACACGGUCCAGACUCCUACGGGAGGCAGCAGUGGGGAAUUUUGCACAAUGGGGGAAACCCUGAUGCAGCAACGCCGCGUGGAGGAUGAAGUCCCUUGGGAUGUAAACUCCUUUCGACCGGGACGAUAAUGACGGUACCGGUGGAAGAAGCCCCGGCUAACUCUGUGCCAGCAGCCGCGGUAAUACAGAGGGGGCAAGCGUUGUUCGGAAUUAUUGGGCGUAAAGGGUGCGUAGGCGGUGCGGUAAGUCUUUUGUGAAAUCUCCGGGCUCAACUCGGAGUCUGCAGGAGAAACUGCCGUGCUUGAGUAUGGGAGAGGUGAGUGGAAUUCCUGGUGUAGCGGUGAAAUGCGUAGAUAUCAGGAGGAACACCUGUGGCGAAAGCGGCUCACUGGACCAUAACUGACGCUGAUGCACGAAAGCUAGGGGAGCAAACAGGAUUAGAUACCCUGGUAGUCCUAGCCCUAAACGAUGAUUGCUUGGUGUAGCAGUACCCAAUCCUGCUGUGCCGCAGCUAACGCGUUAAGCAAUCCGCCUGGGGAGUACGGUCGCAAGGCUGAA